rnacentral:rRNA from 1 species
UACGUAGGGUGCAAGCGUUAAUCGGAAUUACUGGGCGUAAAGCGUGCGCAGGCGGUUUUGUAAGUCUGUCGUGAAAUCCCCGGGCUCAACCUGGGAAUUGCGAUGGAGACUGCAAGGCUAGAAUCUGGCAGAGGGGGUAGAAUUCCACGUGUAGCAGUGAAAUGCGUAGAUAUGUGGAGGAACACCGAUGGCGAAGGCAGCCCCCUGGGUCAAGAUUGACGCUCAUGCACGAAAGCGUGGGGAGCAAACAGG